UGCAAGUCGAACGAACUCUGGUAUUGAUUGGUGCUUGCAUCAUGAUUUACAUUUGAGUGAGUGGCGAACUGGUGAGUAACACGUGGGAAACCUGCCCAGAAGCGGGGGAUAACACCUGGAAACAGAUGCUAAUACCGCAUAACAACUUGGACCGCAUGGUCCGAGCUUGAAAGAUGGCUUCGGCUAUCACUUUUGGAUGGUCCCGCGGCGUAUUAGCUAGAUGGUGGGGUAACGGCUCACCAUGGCAAUGAUACGUAGCCGACCUGAGAGGGUAAUCGGCCACAUUGGGACUGAGACACGGCCCAAACUCCUACGGGAGGCAGCAGUAGGGAAUCUUCCACAAUGGACGAAAGUCUGAUGGAGCAACGCCGCGUGAGUGAAGAAGGGUUUCGGCUCGUAAAACUCUGUUGUUAAAGAAGAACAUAUCUGAGAGUAACUGUUCAGGUAUUGACGGUAUUUAACCAGAAAGCCACGGCUAACUACGUGCCAGCAGCCGCGGUAAUACGUAGGUGGCAAGCGUUGUCCGGAUUUAUUGGGCGUAAAGCGAGCGCAGGCGGUUUUUUAAGUCUGAUGUGAAAGCCUUCGGCUCAACCGAAGAAGUGCAUCGGAAACUGGGAAACUUGAGUGCAGAAGAGGACAGUGGAACUCCAUGUGUAGCGGUGAAAUGCGUAGAUAUAUGGAAGAACACCAGUGGCGAAGGCGGCUGUCUGGUCUGUAACUGACGCUGAGGCUCGAAAGUAUGGGUAGCAAACAGGAUUAGAUACCCUGGUAGUCCAUACCGUAAACGAUGAAUGCUAAGUGUUGGAGGGUUUCCGCCCUUCAGUGCUGCAGCUAACGCAUUAAGCAUUCCGCCUGGGGAGUACGGCCGCAAGGCUGAAACUCAAAGGAAUUGACGGGGGCCCGCACAAGCGGUGGAGCAUGUGGUUUAAUUCGAAGCUACGCGAAGAACCUUACCAGGUCUUGACAUACUAUGCAAAUCUAAGAGAUUAGACGUUCCCUUCGGGGACAUGGAUACAGGUGGUGCAUGGUUGUCGUCAGCUCGUGUCGUGAGAUGUUGGGUUAAGUCCCGCAACGAGCGCAACCCUUAUUAUCAGUUGCCAGCAUUAAGUUGGGCACUCUGGUGAGACUGCCGGUGACAAACCGGAGGAAGGUGGGGAUGACGUCAAAUCAUCAUGCCCCUUAUGACCUGGGCUACACACGUGCUACAAUGGAUGGUACAACGAGUUGCGAACUCGCGAGAGUAAGCUAAUCUCUUAAAGCCAUUCUCAGUUCGGAUUGUAGGCUGCAACUCGCCUACAUGAAGUCGGAAUCGCUAGUAAUCGCGGAUCAGCAUGCCGCGGUGAAUACGUUCCCGGGCCUUGUACACACCGCCCGUCACACCAUGAGAGUUUGUAACACCCAAAGUCGGUGGGGUAACCUUUUAGGAACCA
rnacentral:rRNA from 2 species